UCCCUUGUAGCUCAGUUGGUAAAGAAUCUGCCUACAAUUCAGGAGACCCAGGCUCGACUCCUGGUUUGGGAA
rnacentral:tRNA from 1 species